rnacentral:lncRNA from 1 species
UGCAGCACUUCUUAAUCCAUUUAUGUAAUCCUCUCUGCUUUGCUUGCAGUUAUUUUCAGGGUUUUAGCAGCAAUGAAAUGGUUCCUUUCCCAAGACAGAGUUCAUUUAAUUUAAAACUGGAUUGAUUAUAGCUAAACUUAUGAUAUGUCUUUGCGAAGGAAGAAAAAAACAGCCAUCAAUUAUGCACAGCAAUUAUUUAGCAUUUAUGCAGCUCCCACAGUGUCCUGGGCUCAGCAUGUAAGAGGUGGGGUAAAAUCCAUGCCCUUGAGAAUCAAAGGCAUGCAGGGCAGAGCAUGAGUCCGCUUGCCAUUUAAUUCCUUAUUCAAGGGGGUCAUCGACCAUAUGGCCAGCAUUUUAGCUGACUUCAUGGGGUUAAGUGGAAUCUUCAUCCAUUUGUGCCUUCUUUCAUUUCUGUCUCAUUCAGAUGCAUUCUACUGAUAGCACCCUUCGCCUUUGACCUCUAUCCCAAAAGAAUACUCCUUACUACUCCUCAAGCAGUUUUGGUUU